UGUGUUUAGGCUGUGCUGGCAGAUGCUCUUGGGGUCAAAGGUGAGGUGAAGAAGGAGAGACGGCUCUUCCUGAUUGGUCAGACCAGAGUUCACCUGGACUCAGUGGAGGGACUGGGACACUACAUGGAGCUGGAGGUUGUGAUGCGCCCAGAGCAGAGUGUGGAGGAGGGGCAGCAGGUGGCAGAGGACCUGAUGCAGCAGCUGGGUGUCUCUCCGCAGAGCUUGGUGACCGGAGCGUACAUGGAUCUGCUGCUGAAGGGACACAAAGAGACGUGAAAGCCGGGCGGUCACGCUGUAAUCAGAUUACUUUUUCUCCAACGUCGACACUUUCUCAAAUAUUUUCUCUGUAAAGUUGCUUUUUUAAAAAAAUAAAAAACAUGUUUUCUGGCUUCAGCUGGAAUGAAACCCAGUCUGAUCUCCUCGUGUUUAACGGUGUGAUUCUGCUGUGAGCUGGUUGCCGUGGCAA